rnacentral:rRNA from 1 species
CCUANGGGGGGCAGCAGUGGGGAAUUUUGCGCAAUGGGGGAAACCCUGACGCAGCAACGCCGCGUGAGUGAUGAAGGCCUUCGGGUCGUAAAGCUCUUUUAGUGGGGAAGAAUCCCACCCGGGCUAAUACCUCGGGUGUCUGACGGUACCCACAGAAAAAGUUCCGGCUAACUACGUGCCAGCAGCCGCGGUAAUACGUAGGGAGCAAGCGUUGUUCGGAAUUAUUGGGCGUAAAGAGCGCGUAGGCGGUUCGGUAAGUCUGACGUGAAAUCCCAGAGCUUAACUCUGGAACUGCGUUGGAUACUGCCGAGCUAGAGUGUGGGAGAGGUGAGUGGAAUUCCCAGUGUAGAGGUGAAAUUCGUAGAUAUUGGGAGGAACACCCGUGGCGAAGGCGGCUCACUGGACCACAACUGACGCUGAGGCGCGAAAGCUAGGGUAGCAAACAGGAUUAGAUACCCUUNUANUC